CUGGGUUUUGAUGAUUGCAUAUUUGUACAUUAAAAUACUUCUAACAGCCUCUAAGAAUAUUAUAUUUGUCAGUUUAAUGUAUUCAUUUGACAAUAUCAUAAUGUAUAAAAUAUAUUCAGCUAGCUUUAAAAAUUAAAAACAUCAUUGACCGCAGCUUUGUGUUCCAGACUGAUAUGCUGUUUUUUGGAAAUCGUUUACAUUUUAUUUAAAUACUUAAGCUAAAUAAACAAUAAAAA